rnacentral:rRNA from 1 species
UACGUAGGGGGCAAGCGUUGUCCGGAUUUACUGGGCGUAAAGAGCGUGUAGGCGGCCAAACAGGUCCGUUGUGAAAACUGGAGGCUUAACCUCCAGACGUCGACGGAAACCGUGUGGCUAGAGUCCGGAAGAGGAGAGUGGAAUUCCUGGUGUAGCGGUGAAAUGCGCAGAUAUCAGGAAGAACACCGGUGGCGAAAGCGCUCUGCUAGGCCGCAACUGACACUCAUGGACGAAAGCUAGGGGAGCGAAUGGG